CUUCAACCGGACCGGAAAGCUUGGGUGGUUCAAGGUAGUCAGCUUUUACAGGUACAUCAGAAACUCCUGCUGCUGACCGAGGUUUGUGCUGCACUUCUUCAUAUCCAUUUCGAAAAUUCGCUCCAACACCAAAUUUCCUCCUCUUAUCGGGUUUACCGGCCUUUGUAAGAUAGCUUACGACUUGCUUGGCUUCUGGUGUUGUUCUCCCAUUCAACAAGGCAGGUUUAGGGGAUGGUUUUUCCUUGGAAGCUGAUUUGACUUUUCUUCCAUUACGGUUGUCCUGAUUAAAAGUUUCAGCAGAUGCUCCAUUAGAAGUUCCGGAGUAAGAUCCCCACUGAAAAGGCGAUACAUUACUAGGAGCAUACUCGUACGUAUGAGAGACUCCGUUUCCCGUGUUCAAGGGAUCGUAUCCAUUUCGAAAAUCCGCUCCAACGACAAUCUUCCUCCUCUUGUCGGGUUUA
rnacentral:lncRNA from 1 species